UGGUCUUGACAUCCCGAAGAUCUCCCGGAAACGGGAGAGUGCUCUCUUUGAGAGAAUUCGGUGACAGGUGCUGCAUGGCUGUCGUCAGCUCGUGUCGUGAGAUGUUGGGUUAAGUCCCGCAACGAGCGCAACCCUUGCCCUUAGUUGCCAUCAGGUUAUGCUGGGAACUCUAAGGGGACUGCCCCGGAUAACGGGGAGGAAGGUGGGGAUGACGUCAAGUCCUCAUGGCCCUUACGUCCAGGGCUACACACGUGCUACAAUGGUUGGUACAACGGGAAGCAAUACCGCGAGGUGGAGCAAAUCCCUAAAAACCAGCCUCAGUUCGGAUUGCAGUCUGCAACUCGACUGCAUGAAGU
rnacentral:rRNA from 1 species